rnacentral:rRNA from 1 species
GGGAUAACACCUGGAAACAGAUGCUAAUACCGGAUAACAACACUAGACGCAUGUCUAGAGUUUGAAAGAUGGUUCUGCUAUCACUCUUGGAUGGACCUGCGGUGCAUUAGCUAGUUGGUAAGGUAACGGCUUACCAAGGCAAUGAUGCAUAGCCGAGUUGAGAGACUGAUCGGCCACAUUGGGACUGAGACACGGCCCAAACUCCUACGGGAGGCAGCAGUAGGGAAUCUUCCACAAUGGACGAAAGUCUGAUGGAGCAACGCCGCGUGAGUGAAGAAGGGUUUCGGCUCGUAAAGCUCUGUUGGUAGUGAAGAAAGAUAGAGGUAGUAACUGGCCUUUAUUUGACGGUAAUUACUUAGAAAGUCACGGCUAACUACGUGCCAGCAGCCGCGGUAAUACGUAGGUGGCAAGCGUUGUCCGGAUUUAUUGGGCGUAAAGCGAGCGCAGGCGGUUCAAUAAGUCUGAUGUGAAAGCCUUCGGCUCAACCGGAGAAUUGCAUCAGAAACUGUUGAACUUGAGUGCAGAAGAGGAGAGUGGAACUCCAUGUGUAGCGGUGGAAUGCGUAGAUAUAUGGAAGAACACCAGUGGCGAAGGCGGCUCUCUGGUCUGCAACUGACGCUGAGGCUCGAAAGCAUGGGUAGCGAACAGGAUUAGAUACCCUGGUAGUCCAUGCCGUAAAC